rnacentral:lncRNA from 1 species
AAAAUUGAAUCAGAAAAAUCAAAAUAACAAGCUGACACAUCAAACUGUUCAAAAUAGACUAUGGUGUUCAUCUCCAUCUCUAGCAUCCAGCAAGCAUUUCUCCACUCCAAAACUUUUCUCAUCUUCACAUUACUUUUCUUUUUCCUCUCUCUCUCUCUCUCUCUCUCUCUCUCUCUCUCUCUCUCUCUCUCUCUCUCCACAAAUUGGUACUCCAGUAUAUGACAUCCAAAUUGCACGCUAGGUUCAUGCAUAACAAGUACGUACUGGUAAG